CAGCCCCAUUUUACAGAUGAGGAAACUGAGGUGAAGUCAUUUGCCCACAGCCACACAGCCGGAAGAUGGCAAAACAGGGCUCUGUUCUUAUAUUUUUAAACUCUCCUCUCUCACUGGGAUCCCACUGGAAACCUUCCAUGGACUGAGUUCCGCGGAGCUGUUAGCAUGUACCGACCUCUUUAGGCGUGCUUUAAUCAAGGUCCUCCUUUUCCGUUUUUGUCCCAGUGGUCUUUAUCCUGAUUUGCAGAAAAAUGAUCUUGCAACCAGCUUUGUCUCAGUAAAACACUGCAUGUUUGUGUCUGUAAGAGUUUCUUCUGCCUUCUGGCUCCUAUGGGUGGUGGGUGUCAGCGCCACAAUUGCCCAUUUAUAUCAUGAAUCAAAAACAUGGAUUCAAGGAUUAUCCACCUUGAAAAGCUCAAGUGCCCCCUUAAGUAAAAUUCAGAUCCCAUUUUACUUCCCAAUGCAAAGAAUGUCAGCGCCAUAGUCACCAGUUGCCUUGAAUGGCUUCGCUUGUUGAGUUUCUUUCUGGUUGACUGUAUUGAGAAUCUCCUGGGAAACCUCCAGAAGGACAGACAAAGAAAAGCAAGCAUUUCCUCCUUCCUUCCUCCCUCCUUCCCUCCUUCCUUCCUUCUUUUUCUUUUUCUUUUUCUUUCUUUCUUUCUUUCUUUCUUUCUUUCUUUCUUUCUUCUCUCUUUCUCUCUUUCUUUCUCUCUCUCUUCUCUCUUUCUUCUCUCUCUCUCUCUCUCUCUCUGUCUCUCUCUCUCUCUCUCUCUCUCUCUCUCUCUCUCUCUCUCUCUCUCUCUCUCUUUCUUUUUUUCCCUGCCUCUGCCGGGCAGAAAUUCCCAGGCCAGGAAUUGAAUCUGAGCCACAGCAGUGAUAAUGCUGCAUCCCUAACCUCUGGGCCACCAGGGAACUCCAAAGCAGGCAUUUCUGAUAAGCUGCUUCAUUUUCUCAUCAAGAGGUGUUCGUUAAGCUCCCUAAACAAAAUGAGUUACAUUGUAUUUGCCAGAGAACAUUCUGAGUGAAGAGGGCAAAAGCCAUUGCCAGAUCAGGCCCUCACUCCACCCCUGGGCAGCCUCUUGAGGUUGGGGCUCCUAAGAGUGGAGAGUGGGGGGACCCCAUUUGGGCAGCAUGGUGGAGAUCUUCCGGUCUGAAUGGGGACCUGGCAGAGGUCCAGGGGCUCAGAGGGGGCUCCAAAAUUAACGAAACUGUCCCAGCUCACGGCACCGACAGGGCAGCGAGAGCCGUGCUGGGACCACAGCCAUGUCCUUGGCUGGCAUUUGGCCUCCACUUGAAGCAGCAGCAGAGGGAUCCUACUUGUGGUGGCGAAAGGCAUUGGGGGAGAAAUGAUUGAGGACCUGCCCGUAUCCAACCCUGAGAGGGUUCCUUCAACUAACUGGGAUUUUCUCGAACCAAUCUUCUUAAUUUCUAGUUUAUUGCCUUUGUCCUCAGAGAGGUUGUGGGUGGUUCAAGCCUCUGAAAUGAGACUUAUUUUAUGGCUCAGCAUAUGGUCUGUCUGAAUGUUGUGUACUCUGAGGGUUUGGGGUUUAGAGUGGAGCGUUCCCUGGAGAGUGAAGGUCCAAGGUCCGGAGUCCUUGGGAGAGAAGAAUCUCCACUCUGCCUGAUGCCCGGAGGAGGGGAGAGGGGGCCGUCCCUGCAGGUGAGAAGGCACAGCCAGCCCCUGACUCCAGGAGCCAGACCCUAGGCCAGUUUGUCCUCCCUGUGGCCCGAGUGAGAACCGGCCUUGAACUCUACCCUGACCUCUGAGGCCAAGAGAAAAUGUCUAGGGAUUUGCUCCAGGGAGGGACGUGUCCCCAAGGAAGGGGAAGAGAGGAGCCGUGGUCCCUAAAUCCCACUCUCUCCAGCUGCGAGCAGCAGACCCGUAGCAGAGGCUCGCCCUUCCUGGCUGCUCAUCUAGGUGUGGAUUUUGAGAUUUGGCCUUGCCACUGCCCUCUGCAAAUUUGCAGAGAUGGGUGAAUGCGGAAACAUGCCUGGCCGGGCAGGGAGGAUGGCCGGGAGAGGAUGCGUGUAUCAGAAUGAAGUCAGUCUUGCUCUGUUCCCCACCCCUCCCUCGUCUCCGUGCUUCCGCGCAUCUGCAGACAAAACAGGACUGUUUCCACAGGCAGGGGCAAGGUGGGAGCACGCGGUGCUCUCAGCAAACCUACUAGAACCUUUAGGGAAUUAUUUCAUGAAGAACAAGGAACACUUGAAUUCCUAGGGCCUACUUAAGCCAGAACCAGAGAGCUUUGGAAUUCUUUCCUUUCUGCCUUUCUUUCUUUCUCUCUCUCUCUCUCUCUCUCUCUCUCUCUCUCGCUUUCUUUCUUUCUCUCUCUCUUUUCUUCCUCCCUUCUUCUUCUUCUUUUUUUUUUUUUUUUUGCUUUUUUAGGGCUAUACCCACAGCAUAUGGAGGUUCCUAGGCUAGGGGUCGAAUCAGAGCUGCAGCUGCCACAGCCACAGCAACCCAGGACUCAAGCCACAUCUGCGACUUAUGCCACAGCUUGUGGCAUUCCCGGAUCCUUAACCCACUAAGCGAGGCCAGAGAUAGAACCCGUGUCCUCAUGGAUACUACUCCCACUGUGGGAACUCCCUGGAACUCUUUUCUUUGUGUGUAUGCCACAGACCCUUCUGACAACGGGGAAGCUCUGGGUGCCUUCUCCGAAUAGUGAUUCUAAAAUGCAUAUAAUAGAACAUCCAGAUUACAAAGGAAAGCAGUUACGUUGAACCCUGGUUCUCCCCUGGGGGAGGGGGACCUAGACUUUCAAGGAGCAAAGGAGGGAAACUCUGCAGACCGGGAAACAGUCUUUCCUGAGGCCAUAAUUCCAUGUUUCUGAAAUUGAUUACUUCCAAGGCAGGCCCAGUUGGAGGUUUUACUUUCAAAUAGGUUUGGGCAACUGCGUAGAAGACUGUCUUUGCCUGCCUUGGGCGAGCUCAUGGUUUCCGUUUGUUUUCUCACUAAACUGGGUGCCCAAACUUCUAGAAAACAGCCACAUGGGCUCAGCUGAAUUUUCUACUCUUUAAAUUUCCUUGGCUGUUUCCUGGGUGAGGGAAGAUGAUGAACUGGCCAGGGGGCCCAUGGGACAGUUAAAGGCUGACUUUGAUGAGGUGGUGGGGAGGCUUGGGGUUGGGGGAAUCAGAGAGUGUGGGGUUUUUUUUGGGGGGGGGUCACUUGUUGCGACUCUAGUUGGGAGUUCAUUGGACAGAGUGCAGCCCAGGAGAGCAGGAUAACUCUUGAUGGGCAUGAAGAGAAGCCUGAGGUUCAGAGGAGACCCAUGCCAUACCCUGAGAGGUAGCAGAGGCUAUGGGUCCUAUGAGAUCAGGUGCCAGUUAUGGAGAAUCUACUGGCAGCCACUUUGCUUUUAUACCCUAUUGUCAUCACCGCGCUAGGUAGGACCUGGGGAUCUGCAUUGUAUUCGUGAGACAGCAGACCCUGAGCACAGCUAAUUCAAGGUCACUCUGCUCCAGCUAGAAGUAGUGGAGCUGAGAUCUGAUUCCACAGACUCCCAGGAGCCCAGACCUUUGUUUCCAGUGCCAUAGGCCCCCUUUGGGCACAGAGGCCAUGGGUACGCCUCCUGGAAUCAGGUGACCUGGGUUCAAAUCCCAGCUCCACCCUCGAUGGACCUUGACCCCCAGAUUCUUCAUCUGUGAAAUGGAAUGAUUUUAUCACCUUCUUCAAGGACUCUUAGUGAUGAUGAAGGGAUGGUAUUUAAAGCGUCAGAGCCACCCACGCGCCUGACAGGUCUGUGUUCUACAAAUGUUGGCACUGCGGUUAUCAUCAGCCCAGCAGGACAGGGAGGCUGUUAGGGGGUCCCUGGCGUGUGAUGGCUCUUCUGUGCCCUCCUCCAGCUGUCCCAGCCGGCAGGCGUUCAUGAACUUGUUUUUCUGGUACGAAGGUUGCCCUGGUAUUCCGGAGUGACCCAGCAGGGCUGAGGUGGUUAUACAACGCUACGUGCCAGGCCAAGUUGAGCGCUUGCCUUGGCAGCCUGCUGAGCCAGUGCCGCUGUGGAGAGAGCCCCUGGCCUUCCGCCUGCUUUCCUGCUCUGGAAAAGCCUGACCCUUACUCAGAAUCAUCGUCCAGUCCCCAUGGCGCACAGUGGCCUCCCUCACCCACUCCUCCCCUUGAACGAACUUCUCUGGGGAGAUUCUGGGGACUCCCAUGUCCCCAGACAGAUGCUUCUCCUUCGUCUGUCUCUGUCCUACUAACUCUGCCCCCAGUGGUGAUUCGCAGGCGUGAGUGGGGUAGAGUAAGGACACACAGGGGUUGGAAGACAAGGGCUGAGCAUCGAACAGCCUGCUUUUUUGUAGGUUUUUUUUUUUUUUUACAUUUUCCAGUUUUAAUUUUUUAAUGGGUGUUCUUUUUAUUUUUAUUAAAAAAAUAUUUUUAGGGCCACACCUGUGGCAUAUGGACAUUCCCAGGCUAGGGGUCUAAUCAGAGCUGUAGCCACCAGCCUACACCACAACCUCAGCAACACCAGAUCUGAGCCGUGUCUGUGAUCUAUGCCACAGCUCUUGGCAACACCGGAUCCUUAACCCACUGAGCGAGGCCAGGGAUUGAACCUAAGUCCUCAUGGAUACUAGUUGGGUUUGUGACCCUCUGAGCCACAGUGGGAGCUCCUGAAACCAGCCUUUCACUCUUAGCCUAAGUCACUGGCCUUUGUUUAAUCUUUGCAUCAGAACACUUGGCUCCUAGGAAUCCCCAGGUCUCUGAACCUCACACCCUCCCCCAGGCAGGGGUCUCAGGCCUUCCUCUGGCCAGCGCAACUCACCUCCCCAGGGUCUCUGGUAACUUUUGGGCCGUAUGGUAAAUCCUUUGCUCUCCAUGCCGUCUUCUGUCCCGACUCUGGGACCUUGUUUUUUCUGCUUCUCGAUGUCCAGGCUGCUCCAUCUCUGCUGGUGGACAUGCUGCUCAGUCUUCCCCUUCCUGCCUUAAUUUCCUCCCACAGAGAGCUCUUAUUUCAGGAUCCAGGCCACAUAAAACCUUAAAAAGAGGGUGGCGGGCGAGCUGGAGCCCAAGGCCCGGCACAGAGGCCCUCAGGCAGCAGGGCUGAGCUGUCACUGGCCCUCCUGUUCCUGGGCCUCCCCUGGGUCGAGAUCUCUGAGGCCCUGGCGGGGGUGUGGGGUGUGGGGGUUGUAGACCCCUUAUGCUCCGGGAUGUCUGGAGCAUAGAUGAGACAGCCUGUGGGGGCUGCCCUGACCAUGGCUCCUCUUGGAUUUCUCACAGGCUGGUGAUUUGCUCUGCAGGUUUUCUUUCGUUCUUUCCUUCUUUCUUUUUUUUUAGGGCCGCACCCUCGGUAUAUGGACGUUCCCAGGCUAGGGGUUGAAUGGAGCUGCAGCUGCUGGCCUACACCACAGCUCACAGUAACUCAGGAUCCAAGCUGUGUCUGCGACCUAUGCCACAGCUCAUGGCAAUGCUGGAUCCUUAACCCGUUGAGUGAGGACAGGGAUCAAACCCGCAUCCUCAUGGAUACUAGUCAGUUCCAUUACCGCUGAGCCACAAUGGGAAUCCCCCCCCCCUUUUUAAAUGUUUGUUUGUUUGUUUAUUUUUAGGGCCACAGUCAUGGCAUAUGGAAGUUACCAGACUAGGGGUCGAAUAGGAGCUGCAGCUGCCAGCCACAGCAACACCAGAUCUGAGUUGCCUCUGUGACCUACACUACAGCUCACGGCAACACCAGAUCCUUAACCCACUGAGCAAGGCCAGGGAUUGAACCUGCGUAGUUUGGUUGUUGCUGCUGAGCCACAAUGGGAACUCCCUGCUGUGUUUGUUCUAAACCAGGAAUCAGCAAACUAUGGCUCGCACGCCAAGUCUGGCUCAUCACUUGAUUUUGCCAAUAAAGUUUUAUUGGAACAUGGCUAUGUCCUUCAUUUAUGUAUUGUCUGGAGCUGUUUUUCUGCCACAGUGUUGGAGUAGAGUUACUUGUGAGAGAAAUGUACGGCCUGCAAAAGCCUCAAAUAUACACUACCUGGCUUUUUACCACAAAUCCUUGUGGCUCCUGCUCUGAAUGUCAAGGGCAGCCUGUCCUAAGAGGCCACGGAUUUCAUUUUCAUCCGAUUGCAGGUGCGUGGGCAGUUACCAGCUGAAAACAAGCAGCUAGUAUGUAUUCGCAAUGCCCUCUCUAAGAGAGUUUUCCUUUGAUGCUCUAAUUCCACCGCACUAUUCCGGCGUAGUCAGAACUGAUUUUUCUGUGCCUUUCCACUCUCAUAUGUAAGAUGGUGUUACUUUCAUUUCUGUGUAAAAAGAAACUCAAGCUGCCUGUCAGUUGCCAGCAUAUUCAUUUGGGAUUGUGUCCUGCCACAGAUCCAGGGCUCGGGAACCACACAGGAGAUGGGUUAAGAUAAAAAACGAUAUCCCGGGAGUUCCCGUCGUGGCGCAGUGGUUAACGAAUCCGACUAGGAACCAUGAGGUUGCGGGUUCAGUCCCUGCCCUUGCUCAGUAGAUUAACGAUCCGGCGUUGCCGUGAGCUGUGGUGUAGGUUGUAGACGCGGCUCGGAUCCUGCGUUGCUGUGGCUCUGGCGUAGGCCGGUUGCUACAGCUCCAAUUAGACCCCUAGCCUGGGAACCUCCAUAUGCCACGGAAGCGGCCCAAAGAAAUAGCAAAAAGACAGAAAAAAAAAAAAAAAAAAA
rnacentral:tRNA from 1 species